UACGUAGGGUGCGAGCGUUAAUCGGAAUUACUGGGCGUAAAGCGUGCGCAGGCGGUGAUGUAAGACCGAUGUGAAAUCCCCGGGCUUAACCUGGGAACUGCAUUGGUGACUGCAUAGCUGGAGUAUGGCAGAGGGGGGUGGAAUUCCACGUGUAGCAGUGAAAUGCGUAGAGAUGUGGAGGAACACCGAUGGCGAAGGCAGCCCCCUGGGCCAAUACUGACGCUCAUGCACGAAAGCGUGGGGAGCAAACAGGA
rnacentral:rRNA from 1 species